rnacentral:rRNA from 1 species
CCCAGACUCCUACGGGAGGCAGCAGUGGGGAAUAUUGCACAAUGGGGGAAACCCUGAUGCAGCGACGCCGCGUGAGUGAGGAAGUAUUUCGGUAUGUAAAGCUCUAUCAGCAGGGAAGAAAAAAUGACGGUACCUGACUAAGAAGCACCGGCUAAAUACGUGCCAGCAGCCGCGGUAAUACGUAUGGUGCAAGCGUUAUCCGGAUUUACUGGGUGUAAAGGGAGCGCAGGCGGUACGGCAAGUCUGAUGUGAAAGCCCGGGGCUCAACCCCGGUGCUGCAUUGGAAACUACCGGACUGGAGUGUCGGAGGGGUAAGUGGAAUUCCUAGUGUAGCGGUGAAAUGCGUAGAUAUUAGGAGGAACACCAGUGGCGAAGGCGGCUUACUGGACGAUCACUGACGCUGAGGCUCGAAAGCGUGGGGAGCAAACAGGAUUAGAUACCCCCGUAU